rnacentral:snoRNA from 1 species
GCCGCGCCCCAACCCAAAAAGCCGCUGCUUGCGGUAGCAGGGGUUUCAGCGAUGGCGCGCACAGCAAGGGGCCUCGUCGCCUUUGGGGGGCUGCGGCCGUGCCCCAAAGUGAAUGUGGAGGUUCUACAACC